GAUUUCUGGCCUGAAACAUUUUGCCGGCCACGGUUUCGUGUGUUAGUGCUUGAUGUUCUGGCCAUCCUUCCAGUCGCUAUUGACUAUUCUUCAUUGAUUGGUCAGUGGUACUGGAUCUUUUACUUUGAAAAAAUUAGAGUGUUUCAAGCAGGCUUUAUGCUAUGAAUACAUUAGCAUGGAAUAAUAAUUUAGGACUUCGGUUCUAUUUUGUUGGUUUCUAGGACUGAAGUAAUGAUUGAUAGGGAUAGUUGGGGGUGCUAGUAUUCAGCGGCCAGAGGUGAAAUUCUCGGAUUCGCUGAAGACUAACUUAUGCGAAAGCAUU
rnacentral:rRNA from 1 species